AAUAAAGUUGUUGAUGAGUACAAGCUACACGCCAGAGAAAACAAGUUCGUUGUACGAGACUUCACCUACAAUGAAGAGGAGCUGUCUGCCGGCAAGACCGAGCUCUCCAAGCUCAUGAGCGACAAAAAGAAGCAAUUCGGCCCUCUUGUACGCUGGCUUAAAGUCAACUUUAGUGAGUGCUUCAUCUGCUGG